rnacentral:misc_RNA from 1 species
GGGAAAUGCACAAAGAGACUACUGAAUCACUGCAUGUAGAGUUGUCAAUCUGGCCCCUGUAAAGGAUAUCGUAACUGCAUUCCCAUCUUCUGUUGUUUACAAAUGCCAAAAGCUUUUUAUUAGAUAAGGAAAUGGCUAUCAACUUGAUAUGCUAAUGUUAACCUUCUAUUUGAAACCAUUGUUAAGCUGGCUGCAAACGAGCAUGUCUACAUUAUAAAAUGUGCAUGGAGAAAUCUAUGCUUUCCAC